AUACGGAGGUGGCAAGCGUUGUUCGGAUUUAUUGGGUGUAAAGGGUAUGUAGGUGGUUAGAUAAGUCGAGCGUGAAAUCCAUUGGCUCAACCAAUGAACUGCACUCGAAACUGUUUAACUUGAGUUCAGGAGAGGAAAGCGGAAUUCCAGGUGUAAGAGUGAAAUCUGUAGAGAUCUGGAGGAACACCAGUGGCGAAGGCGGCUUUCUGGACUGACACUGACACUGAAAUGCGAAAGCUAGGGGAGCAAACAGGAUUAGAAACCCUAGUAGUCC
rnacentral:rRNA from 1 species